CGGACGGGUGAGUAAUGUCUGGGAAACUGCCUGAUGGAGGGGGAUAACUGCUGGAAACGGUAGCUAAUACCGCAUAACGUCGCAAGACCAAAGAGGGGGACCUUAGGGCCUCUUGCCAUCGGAUGUGCCCAGAUGGGAUUAGCUUGUUGGUGGGGUAACGGCUCACCAAGGCGACGAUCCCUAGCUGGUCUGAGAGGAUGACCAGCCACACUGGAACUGAGACACGGUCCAG
rnacentral:rRNA from 1 species